rnacentral:rRNA from 1 species
GGCCCGACACGCCGACGCCGCCUGGUGGAUGGCUCGGCUUGGGCGCCGAAGAAGGGCGUGGCAAGCUGCGAUAAGCCCCGGGGAGGCGCAUGCAGCCGUCGAUCCGGGGAUCCCCGAAUGGGACCUCCUGCUGUAGGGGUGUUAAGCCCCUACAGUGCUCCCACCUCCCCUCGGGGAGGGGGAGUGGGAACCCCCCGAACGGAAACAUCCAAGUAGGGGGAGGAAAAGAAACCAACAGGGAUCCCCUGAGUAGGGGCGACCGAAAGGGGGAGAGCCCAAACUAAACCCUGCGGGGAAACCCGUGGGGGAUGUAGUGUUGUUGGGGCCCAGCCAACACCCCUCCUCGGUGAAGCCGAAGUGGCCUGGAACGGCCCGCCGUAGAGGGUGAUAGCCCCGUAGGCGUAAGCCGAGUGGGGUUAUGUGGCUGGUGACCCAGAGUACCGUACCCCAGUUUGGGUGCGGGAAUCAGGGAGUCAUCAACUUCCAAGGCUAAAUACGUCCCAAGACCGAUAGCGAACAAGUACGGUGACGGAAAGCUGAAAAGAACCCCGGAAGGGGGGUGAAAAGAGCCUGAAACCAGGCGGCUACAGGAACGUGCGCGGCUCUCAAGGAUUGAGCCCUCCCAAAGUCGACCGUGGCGACGCGGGAGACGAGGGAGGGUGACCGGGGUCGCGCGUUCCGUCUAGAAACACGGGCCGGGGAGUUCACGGCCCUGGCGAGCUUAAGGGUUUAAAGCCCGUAGGCGUAAGGAAACUGACAUGCGCGCAACCAGCCUCUAUGGCUGGUGAGGCGCGGGGUCUGAAAGGGCCCGGAGUCAGGGCCGUGAGGCUAGAAACCGGGCGAUCUAGGCCGGGGCAGGGCGAAGCCCGGCGAAAGCCGGGUGGAGGCCCGAAGGGGUGCUGACGUGCAAUUCGCUCCUCUGACCCCGGUCUAGGGGCUAAAGACUAAUCUAGCCCGGUGAUAGCUAGUUCCCUCCGAAGUGGGUCCUAGCCCAGCCCCGGGCGAGGUCGCUCACGGGGUAGAGCACUGACUGGAAGGUAAGGGGCCGAAGAGGCUCCGCCUUCCUAUCAAACUCCGAAUCCGUGGGCGCCGUAGACCCCGGGAGACGGGUUCCGGGGGGUAAGCUCCCGGACCGAGAGGGGGACAACCCGGACCAGGGUUAAGGCCCCAAAGUGCUGGCUAAGUGCCAAACAGAAGGGCGUCCCCAGCCUUAGACAGCGGGGAGGUAGGCUUAGAAGCAGCCAUCCUUUAAAGAGUGCGUAACAGCUCACCCGCCGAGGCUGGGGGCCCCGAAAAUGGACGGGGCUAAGCCAGCCGCCGAGACCCUGGGGCACGGCCGUAGUGCCGUGAUCCGGUAGGAGGGCGUCCCGGCUGGGUAGAAGCUGGGCCGUGAGGUCCAGUGGACCGGCCGGGAGUGCAGAUCCCGGCGGUAGUAGCAGCAAAGAGGGGUGAGAGUCCCCUCCGCCGUAGGGGCCAGGGUUCCCUGGCACUGAUCGUCAGCCAGGGGUUAGCCGGUCCUAAGGCCGACCCUAACAGGGUAGGCCGAAAGGGAAACCGGUUAAUAUUCCGGUGCCGUGGGGGUACGCCUCGCGGCGACGCAAGGCCCAGCGCCUGACGCCUCAGGGUAGGCCGAGCGGCGCCGUCGCGCCGCCUAACUGUAUAAGCCUGGGGAGUGCCGUAAUGGCGAGAACCAGGCGAAGGCAGGAAUGGCCGCCCAUUUUAGGGUGGUUCGGCCGAUCCCCGGGGCCAGUGAAAAGGGCGCUGGGAAGGAUCCCCCACGACCGUACCAAGAACCGACACAGGUGCCCCUAGGCGAGAAACCUCAGGCGUGUCGGGGGUAAGCCGGGCGAGGGAACUCGGCAAAUUGGCCCCGUACCUUCGGUAGAAGGGGUGCCUGCGGUUUUCGCCUCGUGCGGGAACCGCAGGUCGCAGUGGCAUGGGGGUCCCGACUGUUUAAUAAAAACACAGGGAGCCGCAAGCCCGAAAGGGUGUGUACGGCUCCUGAAUCCUGGCCAGUGGGGGUACCUGAAACCCGGGUCCAACCGGGCUAAGGGCCCCUAAACGCCGGGAGUAACUCUGACUCUCGAAUAAGGGAGUCGUUAAACUCGGCUAUAUGCGGGGAAGGGGGCAUUAGCUGACCUCCCGAGUAGGGAACAAUGGUCAGCUAUAUGACCCCGACCCGCAGGGAACCACCCGCCUAACAUUUUUAAAGGACGCAGCAAUAAUUUAACGGGGUGUAUCAGAGAUUGCUUAAUGAAUUCAAAGACUUAAUAGACCCGAAGAGACUGCCAGCUAGAAGGAAAUACCUUUAUUAUUACAUAGUUGGCCUCGUGGACGGCGAAGGAUGUUUCUCAAUAUCGAUUAAAAGGCAGGAUGACACAAGGUUCGGCUGGGUAAUCGAUCCGGUCUUUCAUGUCACGCAGAGUAAGGAUCAGGUUACAGUACUUGAGAUUUUAAAGAGAGUAUUCGGUUGCGGACGCAUUAUACCGAAACCUGGGCAGGAAGACUCAACACUCCAGUAUGUUGUAGAUGCACGAAGAAGUCUCGCGGAAAAAAUAAUACCCUUCUUUAAGAAGCACAAGCCUAUUAUAAAGUGGCGGGAAUUCCAGUAUUUCGCUGAAAUAAUUGAAGGAUUAGAGAGAGGCGAACAUAAGGAUCCAGAGGGAUUUAAAAAUCUCCUGAAGAAAGCCUAUGAAAUUUCGCCGGACAGAAAAUAUGGGCUUGAUGAAAUAAUCUCUGAAGUGGAUAGGCGGGUGGGACGCCUCAGAGACCAUACGCCGAGCGCCGUAGAGUGACCGUGAAGAUGAUCUCGAGGGCGAAGAUAUGGUCCAACCCCAAAUAUGGGGUUGCUCAAGGUAGCCAAAUGCCUUGUCGGGUAAGUUCCGACGUGCAUGAAUGGAUCAACGAGGGCCCCGCUGUCCCCGCCCGGCACCCGGCGAACCCACAUUCGUGGAGGAACGGUCCACGGUCCCCCAGCGGGAAAAGAAGACCCCGUGGAGCUUUACUGCAGCCUGCCGCUGGGGUACGGCUGCGGGUGCAGAGUGUAGGCGGGAGCCGUUGACCCCACCUCUCCGGGGGCUGGGGUAGGCGCCAAUGGAACACCGCCCACUUGCGGCUGUACCUCUUACCAGCGCCGGUGCGCGCUGGGACAACGGCAGGUGGGCAGUUCGGCUGGGGCGGCGCCCCCUUGAAAAGGUAUCGAGGGGGCCCAAAGGUCG